UACAGAGCCUGCGAGCGUUAUUCGGAUUCACUGGGCGUAAAGGGUGCGCAGGCGGUUGGGUGUGUCAGAUGUGAAAUCCCGAGGCUUAACCUCGGAACUGCGUCUGAAACUACUCGACUAGAGUAUUGGAGAGGGUAACGGAAUUCACGGUGUAGCAGUGAAAUGCGUAGAUAUCGUGAGGAACACCAGAGGCGAAGGCGGUUACCUGGACAAUUACUGACGCUCAGGCACGAAAGCAUGGGGAGCAAAAGGG
rnacentral:rRNA from 1 species